rnacentral:rRNA from 1 species
UAAUUGAAGGCUUGUAUGAAUGGUUGGACAAGAAUUAAACUGUCUCUUUUUUUAAAUUUGAAUUUUACUUUUAAGUGAGAAGGCUUAAAUAAACUUAAGGGACGAUAAGACCCUAUAAAUCUUUAUAAUAUUAGUUUUUAUUAGUUUAAUAUAUAGUUAAAAUUUACGAAUAAAAAUUUAAAUUAUUUUACUGGGGCGGUAAUAAUAUAAGAAAUAACUGUUUAAAAGUGUUACAAGUUAAUUGAUGAGUUAAAGUGCUUUUUUUAAAAAUAAAUAGUUUAAGUUACUUUAGGGAUAACAGCAUAAUUUUUUUUGAGAGUUCUUAUCGAAAAAAAAGUUUGUGACCUCGAUGUUGAAUUAAAAUUUCUUUGUGGUGUAGCAGUUACAAAAGAUAGUCUGUUCGACUAUUAAAUUUUUACAUGAUUUGAGUUCAGACCGGCGUAAGCCAGGUUGGUUUCUAUC